rnacentral:lncRNA from 1 species
AUUCUCCUGCUUCAGCCUCCCGAGUAGCUGGGACUAUAGGCCCGGCCACCACAACCAGCUAAUUUUUUUUUUUUUUUUUUUUUUUUUUUUAGUAGAGACGGGGUUUCACCAUGUUAGUCAGGAUGGUCUCUAUCUCCUGACCUCGCGAUCCGCCCGCUUCGGCCUCCCAAAGUGCUGGGAUUACAGGUGUGAGCCACUGUGCCCGGCUGAAAGCCUGAUAUAUCUUUCUACCAUAGCAAGAACUAGCAGCACCUUACCCAGUAUGAGACCGACCCAGGUCUGCCUUAAUAUAUAUACCGUAAUAUAUACCUAACAGUUUUUUUUUUUUUUUUGAGAGGGAGUCUCGCUCUGUCGCCCAGGCUGGAGUGCAGUAUCGCGAUAUCGGUUCGCUGCAAGCUCCGCCUCCCGGGGUCACGUCAUUCUCCUGCCUCAGCUUCCGGAGCAGCUGGGACUGCUGGCGCCCGCCACUACGCUCGGCUAAUUUUUUUGUGUUUUUAGUAGAGACGGGCUUUCACCGUGUUGGCCUAGCGGUUCUCCAACUCCUGACCUCAUGAUCCCCCCGCCUCAGCCUCCCAAAGUGCUGGGAUUACAAGCGUGAGCCACCGCGACCCGCCAACACUCUUGACAACAGUGCUGUGCUAAGAACUUGGGGGACUUCAAAAAGUUCACCAGUUCCUGUGUCCAUGGGUGAAAAGAUUUUCUACAUCUUUCCUUGACUAGAAACAGAAGUCCUGAAACAAGGUACACCUUCUUGAGGCUUACUUGGUGAGUCUAAUUUGUCUUCUGGCACCACUGUGAAUUUGAAGGCUUACGUCUUCUUCCCUGAUCAUAUGUUUUCUACAUGUCAGGAAUAUAACGUCAGGAGGCCAGAGGCUUUGUCCUGCCUAAUGUGUUAUUUCCACACUGAAUAAAAGCACCUGAGUCCUGAAUUCUCCAAACACCACCUCACACAGUUUUGGAAUCUCUUUGUCUUCAUUUCCCAGAAUUUGGAAGAGUUCAUCUAGUAUCUCUGCAUUUUAAAAAGGUUGUACAUCUAGCAAUACCUAACAAAAUAGGAAAUCAACUUGGAAAGCCAAUGGCUGUGUUUUGAGUUUAUGGAGAGCCAUAUGUGGCAAGGAACUGAGGGUGGCAUCCAGGCAACAGACUUCAAGAAACUGAGGCUGUCAGUCCAACAACCCACAAGAACUGAAUCUGACCAACAAUCACAGGAACAAACUUAGAAGUAUACUCUUUCCCAGACAAACCUUCAGAUGAGACCACAGCCCCAGCCAUAAGCUUGAAAACAAUCUCAUGAGGGACCUUGAGCCACAGGCAUGUAGUAAAGCUAUGCCAGGAAUCCUGCCUGCCCCACAGAAAAUGUAAAAAAAAUAAAUUUUUAUUGUUUUAAGCCACGAAGUUUUGAAGUAAUUUGAUAUAAAAC